CGUUUGCCUAUAUGGUUUGGGAAGGUAGAAGACACAGAUUGUGAGGAGUCUCAUUCUUUCCUAGCUAUGACAGAGAUAAUGACUUGCCACUCAAUAUGCAUUCUCCUUAUCUCUCAGUAUUUGAACCUCAGUUUCAUUUGGGACAGCAAUGUGACCCUCUGUAAGACUGCAUAACCCAGCUUCCUGUGCCUGCCUGGUGUGGCCACGGCAGUUCUGCCAGGGAUGAAAGAGAUGAUUGUGUGGCACCCUUGGGAUGACUGCAAUUGCCCAAACUGCUCUUGGACCAACAGCUCUGCCUGGGAACCCUGGCAGCGACUGCCACUCUCAGCAGAGGGAGUAUGUGAGCUAAGAUGAACACAAUAUAGAAACUGGCUUUGUUUCCCUAAAAUGAAAUUCACAAAGAAAAAGGAUUGACUGAUUCAACGGAGAUUGAUCAGUUCUGUCUCCAUUUGAUUAAGCUGGCCACAGAGAGAGCGAGAAGACUGAUAGUUUUGAAACUUCACAAACAACAAAAAUACAUCUUGUACUUUCGCCAUAGAUUCCCUUCCCUAUUUGAACUCGCCUAGAGAAAUCCUGGAAAUUGGCACAUCUGGCAACCAGAAAAACAUGCCUUUCUUGCAAAAAUAAAUACAAAAUAUUUCUUACCUAA